CGUGUAGGCGGGUAUAUAAGUCAGAAGUGAAAUCCAAUAGCUUAACUAUUGAACUGCUUUUGAAACUGUAUACCUAGAAUGUGGGAGAGGUAGAUGGAAUUUCUGGUGUAGGGGUAAAAUACCGUAGAGAUCAGAAGGAAUACCGAUUGCGAAGGCGAUCUACUGGAACAUUAUUGACGCUGAGAUGCGAAAGACGUGGGGAGCAAACA
rnacentral:rRNA from 1 species